rnacentral:rRNA from 1 species
UACGGAGGGUGCAAGCGUUAUCCGGAUUCACUGGGUUUAAAGGGCGCGUAGGUGGCCCGGUCAGUUCGUGGUGAAAGCGCGGGGCUCAACCCUGCGUCGGCCAUGAAUACUGCCGCGGCUGGAGCACUGUAGAGGCAGGCGGAAUUCCGGGUGUAGCGGUGGAAUGCGUAGAGAUCCGGAAGAACACCGGUGGCGAAGGCGGCCUGCUGGGCAGUUGCUGACGCUGAGGCGCGACAGCGUGGGGAGCAAACAGG